UAUAAUGUGUGUGUGUGCUCUGACCGGCGACCUGUCACUGGGUCUUGUAGGCAGAGUUGUGUGUGUGUGUGUGUGUGCUCUGACCGGCGACCUGUCACUGGGUCUUGUAGGCAGAGUUGUGUGUGUGUGUGUGUGCUCUGACCGGCGACCUGUCACUGGGUCUUGUAGGCAGAGUUGUGUGUGUGUGUGUGUGCUCUGACCGGCGACCUGUCACUGGGUCUUGUAGGCAGAGUUGUGUGUGUGUGUGUGCUCUGACCGGCGACCUGUCACUGGGUCUUGUAGGCAGAGUUGUGUGUGUGUGUGUGUGCUCUGACCGGCGACCUGUCACUGGGUCUUGUAGGCAGAGUUGUGUGUGUGUGUGUGUGCUCUGACCGGCGACCUGUCACUGGGUCUUGUAGGCAGAGUUGUGUGUGUGUGUGUGUGCUCUGACCGGCGACCUGUCACUGGGUCUUGUAGGCAGAGUUGUGUGUGUGUGUGUGUGCUCUGACCGGCGACCUGUCACUGGGUCUUGUAGGCAGAGUUGUGUGUGUGUGUGUGUACUCUGACCGGCGACCUGUCACUGGGUCUUGUAGGCAGAAUUGUGUGUGUGUGUGUGUGUACUCUGACCGGCGACCUGUCACUGGGUCUUGUAGGCAGAGUUGUGUGUGUGUGUGUGUACUCUGACCGGCGACCUGUCACUGGGUCUUGUAGGCAGAGUUGUGUAUGUGUGUGUGUGUGUACUCUGACCGGCGACCUGUCACUGGGUCUUGUAGGCAGAGUUGUGUAUGUGUGUGUGUGUGUACUCUGACUGGUGCUGUCUCUGUAGGCAGAGUUGUAUGUAUGUACUAUUAUCACGUCAUGUGUAUUCAUGUGUGUAUAUGCCUAAUAUUUAUAAGUAUAUAACUGUCUCUUUAUUUAUUCAGGAAAUAUCGUCUAAGAAAUCAAUUGAGCAUAUCUGUAUGUAAAGGAAAAGAUACCGAUCAAAAAAAAGUACGAACAGAUUAGAAGGCAGUGGGCAGUUGACCAGAAGGAAAACAGUGAGGAGCUUAUUGAAAACAAAAGCAGAAAUAGCCGGUACAGGGCAAGACGCCUCAUGAAAUUUCAGAAUCGUGGAAUGUGUGUGAAACCAACAGAGAGUAAAUAUUGGAGCCAAUUGAAUAUGCUGUACAUAACUGAGGAGUCUGACGAUGGGGAAGACAAAUCUGUAAUAGUGGAGCAUAAACUUCAGUGGCGAUCACAAAAGCUCAAUGAGUAUAUGAUGGAAUUGGACAGCCGUUAUGAGACAAAGAUUAAAAAAGAUGAUGGUGCAGUAAUGGCUAAAAAGUCAAGAAAGCUUGGCGAACCUUCCACAAGUCAUGUUCCACCCAAAUGGGCUAUCAUGAGUCAAUCUGAUUCUGAAGAAACAUUCGAACUUUAGACCUCUUAUCAAUCCAUGUAACAUUUCACUUAUUUAUUCUCCCAUUGAUCUUUUGUGCGAUGUACGUCAUGCUUGCUAAUUAUCAAUUCAAAGUAUUGUUUCUAAUUAUAAGA